CGGAUGUAGCCAAGUGGAUCAAGGCAGUGGAUU
rnacentral:tRNA from 9 species